UGGGCUUCUAACCAGAGGCCGUUAUCCGGCUCUGGAACAGCGUCAGGUGGGUAGUUUGACUGGGGCGGUCGCCUCCUAAACUGUAACGGAGGCGCGCAAAGGUUCCCUCAGCACGGUUGGAAAUCGUGCGUAGAGCGUAAUGGCAUAAGGGGGCUUGACUGCGAGACUGACAAGUCGAGCAGGUGCGAAAGCAGGCCAUAGUGAUCCGGCGGUGAAGCGUGGAAUUGCCGUCGCUCAACGGAUAAAAGGUACUCCGGGGAUAACAGGCUUAUCCUUCCCAAGAGUCCACAUCGACGGAAGGGUUUGGCACCUC
rnacentral:rRNA from 1 species